rnacentral:tRNA from 1 species
ACCAGGCUGGCUCAGUUGGUAGAGCAUCUGACUCUUGAUCUCAGGGCCGUGAGUUUGAGCCCCACGUUGGGCA